rnacentral:rRNA from 1 species
AUUGAACGCUGGCGGCAGGCCUAACACAUGCAAGUCGAGCGGAUGAAGGGAGCUUGCUCCUGGAUUCAGCGGCGGACGGGUGAGUAAUGCCUAGGAAUCUGCCUGGUAGUGGGGGAUAACGUCCGGAACGGGCGCUAAUACCGCAUACGUCCUGAGGGAGAAAGUGGGGGAUCUUCGGACCUCACGCUAUCAGAUGAGCCCAGGUCGGAUUAGCUAGUUGGUGGGGUAAAGGCCUACCAAGGCGACGAUCCGUAACUGGUCUGAGAGGAUGAUCAGUCACACUGGAACUGAGACACGGUCCAGACUCCUACGGGAGGCAGCAGUGGGGAAUAUUGGACAAUGGGCGAAAGCCUGAUCCAGCCAUGCCGCGUGUGUGAAGAAGGUCUUCGGAUUGUAAAGCACUUUAAGUUGGGAGGAAGGGCAGUAAGUUAAUACCUUGCUGUUUUGACGUUACCAACAGAAUAAGCACCGGCUAACUUCGUG